rnacentral:rRNA from 1 species
AACAACGCUGGCGGCGCGCCUAACACAUGCAAGUCGCACGAGAAAGCGGGAGCAAUCUCGCAAGUACAGUGGCGUACGGGUGAGUAACACGUGGAUUAUCUGCCCUGGAGUGGGGAAUAACGCUGGGAAACCGGCGCUAAUACCGCAUAUUCCCGAGAGGGGAAAGCAGCAAUGCGCUCGAGGAGGAGUCCGCGGCCGAUUAGCUAGUUGGUAGGGUAAAAGCCUACCAAGGCUGUGAUCGGUAGCCGGCCUGAGAGGGCACACGGCCACACUGGCACUGAAACACGGGCCAGACUCCUACGGGAGGCAGCAGUGGGGAAUCUUGCACAAUGGGGGAAACCCUGAUGCAGCGACGCCGCGUGAGCGAUGAAGCCCUUCGGGGUGUAAAGCUCUUUCGGCAGGGAAGAUUAUGACGGUACCUGCAGAAGCAGCUGCGGCUAACUACGUGCCAGCAGCCGCGGUAAUACGUAGGCAGCAAGCGUUGUUCGGAGUUACUGGGCGUAAAGGGUGUGUAGGCGGCCUGUUAAGUUCCGUGUGAAAUCUCCCGGCUCAACCGGGAGGGUGCGCGGAAAACUGGCGGGCUA